rnacentral:rRNA from 1 species
AUUGAACGCUGGCGGCAUGCCUUACACAUGCAAGUCGAACGGCAGCACGGGUGCUUGCACCUGGUGGCGAGUGGCGAACGGGUGAGUAAUACAUCGGAACGUACCUUAUCGUGGGGGAUAACGCAGCGAAAGUUGCGCUAAUACCGCAUACGCCCUGAGGGGGAAAGCGGGGGACCGUAAGGCCUCGCGCGAUUAGAGCGGCCGAUGUCUGAUUAGCUUGUUGGUGAGGUAAAAGCUCACCAAGGCGAUGAUCAGUAGCUGGUCUGAGAGAACGAUCAGCCACACUGGGACUGAGACACGGCCCAGACUCCUACGGGAGGCAGCAGUGGGGAAUUUUGGACAAUGGGGGCAACCCUGAUCCAGCAAUGCCGCGUGAGUGAAGAAGGCCUUCGGGUUGUAAAGCUCUUUUGUCCGGGAAGAAACAGCAGCUCUAACACAGUCUGCGAAUGACGGUACCUGAAGAAUAAGCACCGGCUAACUACGUGCCAGCCGCCGCAGUAA